UACGUAGGGGGCAAGCGUUGUCCGGAAUCAUUGGGCGUAAAGAGCGCGUAGGCGGCCCUGUAAGUCCGCUGUGAAAGUCAAGGGCUCAACCCUUGGAUGCCGGUGGAUACUGCAGGGCUAGAGUCCGGAAGAGGCGAGUGGAAUUCCUGGUGUAGCGGUGAAAUGCGCAGAGAUCAGGAGGAACACCGAUGGCGAAGGCAGCUCGCUGGGACGGUACUGACGCUGAGGCGCGAAAGCGUGGGGAGCAAACAGG
rnacentral:rRNA from 1 species